rnacentral:rRNA from 1 species
AUUGAACGCUGGCGGCAGGCCUAACACAUGCAAGUCGAGCGGUUGAUGGGAGCUUGGUCCCGGAUCCAGCGGCGGACGGGUGGGUAAUGCCUAGGAAUCUGCCUGGUAGUGGGGGACCACGUUUCGAGAGGAACGCCAAUACCGCAUACGUCCUACGGGAGAAAGCAGGGGACCUUCGUGCCUUGCGCUAUCAGAUGAGCCUGGGUCGGAUUAGCUAGUUGGUGGGGUAAAGGCCUACCAAGGCGACGAUCCGUAACUGGUCUGAGAGGAUGAUCAGUCACACUGGAACUGAGACACGGUCCAGACUCCUACGGGAGGCAGCAGUGGGGAAUAUUGGACAAUGGGCGAAAGCCUGAUCCAGCCAUGCCGCGUGUGUGAAGAAGGUCUUCGGAUUGUAAAGCACUUUAAGUUGGGAGGAAGGGCAGUAAGUUAAUCCCUUGCUGUUUUGACGUUACCAACAGAAUAAGCACCGGCUAACUUCGUGCCAGCCGCCGCCGUAACAC